AUUAAAAUAUCCUAUUUGUGAAUAAUUGGCGAUUAAUAAAAACGAUAGCUUUCGGGAUAGCCUGGAUGGUUCAAAACAUUUCAUAAGGUGAAAUUAAUUGUUUUGUGGCUGAUCCCAUCAACAAUGACGUUAAUAACCCCAAAGGUCAAUCACGAUGGCCGGGUGUUUAUGUCGUCUCAUCGGAUAAUAAAGUAUUAGUGGAGGACGAUCAUUGCCAUUGGGACAUAAUUGCCAUUGGGUCCAACCGAAAAUCUAGCAAACAACCGAAAAAUAUACUCAACCAAGGGCUGUUGAAACUAAACAUCUUUUCGUACGAGAUGCCCAACAUCCCGGGAUUCAAAUAUGAAAAGACCAGAAUUGACGACGACGAUGAGUGUUCUGGUGAAAUUCAGGGGAUACAUUGUCGUUCUGCUACGAUGGCAGCCGGAAAGUACGGUAGACAAUCGGCAGUCCUAGUUUCGAAAAACGUGGUCUGUACAACAACCUCAGCAGCAUAAUUGAGAUCAUUCCGCAUCUCAACAACAGUAUUCCCAAGGAGCACCGGACACCUCAUUCAUGUACCAACCGACUCGUUUUGACGUUUUAGAUACGAGGCUAACAUGAAGCACUUGUCAAAAACGGUGUCCAACGCCGUUGUGUUAGGAUGAUGCUGCCCUCGAUGCUGCCUUUUUCCUACAAUGACCUGCAAAGUCAGAGUCGGUUCCAUCUUCGAAAUGAUGAACUAAUAGCAGCUGUCGUUGUCCACGAUCUGGAUGAAAAGACCACCAGCGAGUGAAACAUUAUGUUUAUCAAUUAUGGUGGCGGUACUAUUGAUGAGUAAAUCCUGUCAAUGAUAGCAUCUUCAAAGUCUGCAGCCGAUGACACCCAUCUUGGCUGUAAGGACUCUGACUAUCGAUUGUCGUCACCGACACUGGUCAGCUUUGAAAAUGAAUUGUUGUUCGAGGGCACCAACGACAACCCGUGCCCGUUUCAAAUAACUAAACGCCGAUAUGUUGCGUCUUAAUGAGAUCGUUGCCGAAAUAAGCAUAUCUAAAAACUUUCACCACAUACUCGGCAUGCUUUAACUGGU